AAGGAUCAUUACAUUCAGUAGCCUAGCUACUUGUUUACACCCUUGUUUUUUGCGUACCUAUUGUUUCCUCGGCGGGCUUGCUCGCCGGUUGGACAAAACUAUAACCUUUUUUAAAUCUUCAAUCAGCGUCUGAAUUAUACAUAAUAAUUACAACUUUCAACAACGGAUCUCUUGGUUCUGGCAUCGGUGAAGAACGCAGCGAAAUGCGAUAAGUAGUGUGAAUUGCAGAAUUCAGUGAAUCAUCGAAUCUUUGAACGCACAUUGCGCCCCUUGGUAUUCCAUGGGGCAUGCCUGUUCGAGCGUCAUUUGUACCCUCAAGCUUUGCUUGGUGUUGGGCGUCUUGUCUUUUAUUAGACUCGCCUUAAAGUCAUUGGCAGCCAGUGUUUUUGGUAGUAAGCGCAGCACAUUUUGCGUCUUAGUCCUUAAAUCGUGGCAUCCAUGAAGCCUCUUUUUCACUUUUGACCUCGGAUCAGGUAGGGAUACCCGCUGAACUUAAGCAUAUCAAUAAGCGGAGGAAAAGAAACCAACAGGGAUUGCCCUAGUAACGGCGAGUGAAGCGGCAACAGCUCAAAUUUGAAAUCUGGCUCUUUCAGAGUCCGAGUUGUAAUUUGCAGAGGGCGCUUUGGUGUUGGCAGCGGUCCAAGUUCUUUGGAACAGGACGUCACAGAGGGUGAGAAUCCCGUACGUGGUCGCUAGCCCUCACCGUGUAAAGCCCCUUCGACGAGUCGAGUUGUUUGGGAAUGCAGCUCUAAAUGGGAGGUAAAUUUCUUCUAAAGCUAAAUACUGGCCAGAGACCGGUAGCGCACAAGUAGAGUGAUCGAAAGAUGAAAAGCACUUUGGAAAGAGAGUCAAAUAGCACGUGAAAUUGUUGAAAGGGAAGCGCUUGCAGCCAGACUUGCCUGUAGUUGCUUAUCCGGACUUUUGUCCGGUGCACUCUUCUGCGGGCAGGCCAGCAUCAGUUUGGGCGGUUGGAUAAAGGUCUCUGUCAUGUACCUCCUUUCGGGGAGGCCUUAUAGGGGAGACGACAUGCAACCAGCCUGGACUGAGGUCCGCGCAUCUGCUAGGAUGCUGGCGUAAUGGCUGUAAGCGGCC
rnacentral:rRNA from 1 species